AAAAAAAAAAGGAAAGGAGGGCGAGAGAGAGGGAGAAGGAAUAAAGAAAACAAUACCCCACUCCACACAACAAAAGGCAAGAGAAAGAAAAAAGACAGAAAGAAGUGAAAAAAGGUGGAAGAAAGGAAGGAAAAGAGAGAGAGGGAGAGAGAGAAAAGGAAGGAAAGGAAAGAGAGGAAGAGAGAGAGAGAGAAAAGGAGGGCAAGAGAAAGGGAGAAGGAAUAAAGGACAACAACAACAACAACAACAACAAAGGAAGUAGCGCCUGAUAUUUUAACGGGCUUAAAAAUACUAGUCACCUAUAAAACCCUUCAGGGUUUGGCACCUGUGUACCUUCAGGACCGCCUCUCCUAUUCAACUUCAACCCACCCUGUGAGGUUGUCUCAGAACAAGGUAUGGAAGUAUGGAGGAAUACAGAGGUAUGGAGGAAUACAAUGUAUGGAGGAAUACUGAGACCCAGAAACUUGCCCAAGGCCACUCAGGAAAUUUGUGGCAGAAAUGGUGGUAGUCCAAGACUUCUGUGUGUCUGAGAUAACCCUGGUGGCUAUUUUAGGUCUCUUUGGAAAAUGGCACUGCCUCUAUGACUUCAAAGGGGAAAGUGACUGUCACCCAGAACCCCACUACAACGUCUUCAAGGGAUUUCCUGUAUGGUCUCCUGUUUGGAUAACCAGCCCAUGUUGCCCUUUCUGGGGACCAAGAGUUACAUAACACUACUCUUUGACUCCCACCAUCUCGGUCAUUAAAGGAAGUCUGAGCUCACGUCAGCAGGGGCAUGACGGUUCUUACCUCCUUUUUCCUGGCAUUCUCCUGUUGGAUCACAGAAGUGUUUGGGCAAGAUCUUUUCCUGUGACCUCUGGGGGCAGAUUUUACCCUUUUCCUCUUAUGUCUCGCUACUGUGUCCACAGAGGGAACAGCACUGUAUUCUCACGGAAAUACCUUCCUUCCAAUGCCUCCUUGUUUCAUAAGAACAGGGACUCCUUGCUGAAGAAAGCAUUGAGGACAUUCCAAGUGAGUAUCAUGAGAGAGGUUACCUUUACUUUUUGAGAAAGGAAAGCUUUCAGACUAGGUCUUCUGAUCCACUGAGCAAAACACAGCCCAACAGGCACAUACAGUGGUCCACCUGUCCAUCAAAGGCCCUCCUGUUAUUGCUGCUGCCUUUCCCUGGGACUUCAGAAAUGGGGUGCAGGUUUGUAUGCGUAUCUCAAGCACCUCUCGGGCCAAAAGCCAAGCUGGUGCAUUCCACUUGGUGCAUUCUAAGUUGUGUCUGCCUGCUUCAGACCAUUCUCCAUUCUAAAGGACUGCAGUA